rnacentral:rRNA from 1 species
GACGAACGCUGGCGGCGUGCCUAAUACAUGCAAGUAGAACGCAGUUGCGAACGGGUGAGUAACGCGUAGGUAACUGCCUCAUAGCGGGGGAUAACUAUUGGAAACGAUAGCUAAUACCGCAUACUUUGAGAUGGACCUGCGUUGGAUUAUCUAGUUGGUGAGGUAAAGGCUCACCAAGGCGAAGAUACAUAGCCGACCUGCGAGGGGUGAUGGCCAAACCGGGAACUGGAAAAGGGUCAGACCUCUUCGGGGGGCAGGCAGAGGGAAUCUUCGGCAAUUGACGGAAGUCUGAACGAGGAAAGCCGCGGGAGUGAAGAAGGUUUUCGGAUCGGAAAGCUCAGUUGUUAGAGAAGCGGUAACUAACCAGAAAGGGACGGCUAACUACGUGCCAGCCGCCGCGGUAAUUC